AUUUCCACUAUCCUCAUAACUACCCUUAAACCCCAGCCUCUUUCACGGUUAUGAAACUUUCCAUCUCCCCCUUCCAAUCUUCUUCUACAGCGGUUUCACAAAACCCUUUCUCUUCCAAAUAGUUUCUAAUUUAUCUGUAACAUGGAUUCGUUAAACUUUCUCUGUUGCAGUUACAGAUACUUUAAUUCUCUACCCAUCCACGUUCUAAACUGCUACACUUUGGUUGAUCAAUAUACGCCCAUCCACGUUCCAAUCUUCUUCUUCUACAGCGGUUUCAGACAACCAUUUAUCUUUCAUUGGGCUUCUGAUUUAUUCGUCUUUUCUCUCUUUCAACUUUGAUUUUGAUUUAGUUUUCAAAGUUUCAGGUUUCAUGGUGUUGGCUCACGCGGAAGAGGAAAGAUCCAUCGCCGAUAUAGUUUCUGAUGAUGCGUCGGUGUUGGUUGUGGUGGACGGCGAUUAAUAUUCCAAAAGAGGUGGCUGUUCGUUUUGAUUUGGGUUUCUAAUGUUGUCUCAGGAGGGGAAAAGUACGAGAAUGGUAUAACAUGAUAUAUCUUGCCAUCAUUUCAGUAUUUGGAUGGGCUUAUAGCUUGCCACUUACAUUCAACAUUCAGGAUUUUGCGUAUCUUUAUGAUCCAAACAAUGAGAUUGCUGGAGCGUCAUUCGUGAAGCUGAAUCUUCUUCCAUCAUCACCAAUGCAAUCUAAUUGAUUCUGCCUUAAUUGCAUUCUCUUUAGCUACCUUUUCAUUCAAUUUUCAAUCAUGACUUUCAAUCAUCGGUUGAUUUCAUUUUAUGCAGGAGGCUCUCAGGAUAUGAAGUGUGUUGGAAUGCAGUAUCUUGAAGUUGUUCGUAAGCUUAAGGAAUGGGGGUUUCAACCUAAAAGGAGUAUUCAUUUGGCUUUUUCUCCUAAUGAGGAGAUUGGUGGACAUGAUGAUGCUGAGAAGUUCUCUCUUUUUGGAGUUUUUCAGGAUUUCUAUGUUUGGCUUCCUUCUCCGGACGACCAUUACAGGGCAUUCUAUGCAGAGAGGAGUCCGUGGUGGUUGGUGAUCAAGGCUGUUGGGAUUUCUGGACAUGGAGCCAAACUUUAUGAUAACUCUUCUAUGGAGAAUCUUUUGAAGAGUAUUGAGACCAUCCAAAGGUAUCGUGCCUCGCAGUUCGACUUGAUAAACAUCGGCUUGAAGGCUCUUGGUCGGGGAAGUAUUUUCUAUUAACCCGGUCUUGCUGAAAGCUGGAACUCCAUCACCAAUAGUAAGUCAAUCAUGGUUGUGGACAACUAUUUAAACCUUUAUGUAAGUUAUUUGUUACAGGAAAUUAUUGAUAUGUGUGAUUAUUCUGUUGGGCUGAGCCGACAAUUGAAGGGAUCAAUUAUCCCAUCGGAACGUAAGUUUUUUUACUUAUGUUUUAAUGCUAAUUUCUUUCCUUGAUGUUUUUGUUCUGAGUUAAUUUUUUC